UACAGAGGGGGCUAGCGUUGUUCGGAAUUACUGGGCGUAAAGCGCGCGUAGGCGGCCCUGCAAGUCGGGGGUGAAAGCCCGAGGCUCAACCUCGGAACUGCCUUCGAUACUGCGGGGCUCGAGUCCGGGAGAGGUGAGUGGAAUUCCUAGUGUAGAGGUGAAAUUCGUAGAUAUUAGGAAGAACACCAGUGGCGAAGGCGGCUCACUGGCCCGGUACUGACGCUGAGGCGCGAAGGCGUGGGGAGCAAGCAGG
rnacentral:rRNA from 1 species